AUGAACGCUGACAGAAUGCUUAACACAUGCAAGUCAACUUGAACUUCGGUUUGGGUGGCGGACGGGUGAGUAACGCGUAAAGAACUUGCCUCACAGCUAGGGACAACAUUUGGAAACGAAUGCUAAUACCUGAUAUUAUGAUUAUAUGGCAUCGUAUAAUUAUGAAAGCUAUAUGCGCUGUGAGAGAGCUUUGCGUCCCAUUAGCUAGUUGGAGAGGUAACAGCUCACCAAGGCGAUGAUGGGUAGCCGGCCUGAGAGGGUGAUCGGCCACAAGGGGACUGAGACACGGCCCUUACUCCUACGGGAGGCAGCAGUGGGGAAUAUUGGACAAGGGACCGAGAGUCUGAUCCAGCAAUUCUGUGUGCACGAUGAAGUUUUUCGGAAUGUAAAGUGCUUUCAGUUGGGAAGAAAAAAAUGACGGUACCAACAGAAGAAGUGACGGCUAAAUACGUG
rnacentral:rRNA from 1 species